CCUACGGGAGGCAGCAGUAAGGAAUAUUGGUCAAUGGGGGCAACCCUGAACCAGCCAUGCCGCGUGCAGGAUGAAGGCCCUAUGGGUCGUAAACUGCUUUUAUACCGGAGAAAACCACCGUACGUGUACGGUGUUGAUAGUAUGGUAAGAAUAAGCAUCGGCUAACUUCGUGCCAGCAGCCGCGGUAAGACGAAGGAUGCAAGCGUUAUCCGGAUUCAUUGGGUUUAAAGGGUGCGUAGGCGGACCUGUAAGUCAGUGGUGAAAUCUCUUUGCUUAACAAAGAAACUGCCAUUGAUACUGCAAGUCUAGAGUAUAGAUGACGUUGGCGGAAUAUGACAUGUAGUGGUGAAAUACUUAGAUAUGUCAUAGAACACCGAUUGCGAAGGCAGCUAACGAAACUAUAACUGACGCUGAGGCACGAAAGUGCGGGGAUCAAACAGGAUUAGAUACCCUGGUAGUCCGCACCGUAAACGAUGAUUACUCGUUGUUGGCAAUAUGACCGUCAGCGACCAAGCGAAAGCGAUAAGUAAUCCACCUGGGGAGUACGCCGGCACGGUGAAACGUCAAAUGAAUUGACGGCGNGAGACGNGCGACGGACGACGACGAGGGAGGAGG
rnacentral:rRNA from 1 species